AUUAAACGCUGGCGGCAUGCCUUACACAUGCAAGUCGAACGGUAACAGGUCUUCGGAUGCUGACGAGUGGCGAACGGGUGAGUAAUACAUCGGAACGUGCCCAGACGUGGGGGAUAACGAGGCGAAAGCUUUGCUAAUACCGCAUACGAUCUAAGGAUGAAAGCAGGGGACCGCAAGGCCUUGCGCGUUUGGAGCGGCCGAUGGCCGAUUAGGUAGUUGGUGGGAUAAAAGCUUACCAAGCCGACGAUCUGUAGCUGGUCUGAGAGGACGGACAGCCACACUGGGACUGAGACACGGCCCAGACUCCUACGGGAGGCAGCAGUGGGGAAUUUUGGACAAUGGGCGAAAGCCUGAUUCAGCAAUGCCGCGUGCAGGAUGAAGGCCUUCGGGUUGUAAACUGCUUUUGUACGGUACGAAAAGGCUCUGGCUAAUACCUGGGGCACAUGACGGUACCGUAAGAAUAAGCACCGGCUAACUACGUGCCAGCAGCCGCAGUAAUAC
rnacentral:rRNA from 1 species